rnacentral:rRNA from 1 species
GAUGAACGCUGGCGGCGUGCUUAACACAUGCAAGUCGAACGAGAAGUGGAGACGGAAACCUUCGGGCGGAAGCCUUUAUUUCGAGUGGCGGACGGGUGAGUAACGCGUGGGUAACCUGCCUCAUACAGGGGGAUAACAGUUGGAAACGACUGUUAAUACCGCAUAAGACAACAGCACCGCAUGGUGCGGGGGUAAAAACUCCGGUGGUAUGAGAUGGACCCGCGUUCGAUUAGCCAGUUGGCGGGGUAACGGCCCACCAAAGCGACGAUCGAUAGCCGAUCUGAGAGGAUGACCGGCCACAUUGGGACUGAGACACGGCCCAAACUCCUACGGGAAGCAGCAGUGGGGAAUAUUGCACAAUGGGGGAAACCCUGAUGCAGCGACGCCGCGUGAGUGAAGAAGUAUUUCGGUAUGUAAAGCUCUAUCAGCAGGGAAGAAAAUGACGGUACCUGAGUAAGAAGCCCCGGCUAACUACGUG